rnacentral:rRNA from 1 species
UACGGAGGAUGCAAGCGUUAUCCGGAUUCAUUGGGUUUAAAGGGUGCGUAGGCGGUUUGGUAAGUCAGUGGUGAAAUCCCCGAGCUCAACUGUGGAACUGCCAUUGAUACUGCCAGUCUUGAAUUAUUAUGAAGUAAGCAGAAUAUGUCGUGUAGCGGUGAAAUGCUUAGAGAUUACAUAGAACACCAAUUGCGAAGGCAGCUUACUACACAUUAAUUGACGCUGAGGCACGAAAGCGUGGGGAUCAAAC